rnacentral:rRNA from 1 species
AUUGAACGCUGGCGGCAGGCCUAACACAUGCAAGUCGAGCGAGCGGCGGACGGGUGAGUAAUGUAUGGGGACUGCCCGAUAGAGGGGGAUAACUACUGGAAACGGUGGCUAAUACCGCAUACUAUCGGAUAACCCAUAUGGGAUUAGCUAGUGGGUGGGGUAAAGGCUCACCUAGGCGACGAUCCGUAGCUGGUAUGAGAGGAUGAGCAGCCACACUGUGACUGAGACACGGCCCAGACUCCUACGGAGGCAGCAGUGGGGAAUCUUGCACAAUGGGCGCAACCCUGAUGCAGCCAUGCCGCGUGUAUGAUGAAGGCCUUAGGGUUGUAAAGUACUUUCGGCGGGGAGGCGUUACCCGCAGAAGAAGCACCGGCUAACUCCGUGCCAGCCGCCGCGGUAAUAC